CAUCAACAUCCCCUAGCUGUAGGCAACUACUAAUCUUUUUUUUUUUUUUUUAAUAAAUUUGCCUAUUUAGGACAUGAUAGGAAUGAAAUGUUACAAUAUGUGGCCUUUGUGACUGUCUUCUUUUAGUUAACAUAAUGGUUUCAAGAUUCAUUUAUCUUGUUGCAUGUGUCAGAUCUUCAUUCCUUUUGAUGGACAAAAAUAGUCCAUUUAUGAGUAUAUACCGCAUUAUGUUUAUCCAUUCAUCAUUUAAUGGACAUUUGAGUAGAUUCCACUUUUUGGCUAUUAAGGAUAAUGCUGGGCUAAACAUUUGUUUUGUUCCAAAUGCUUUGUGGGCUGAACAGUCUGGUUUUUCCCUGCCCCUGUACCCUGUUUGCUUGUUGAUUAAUCUGAAUAUACUAUUUUACAUGGUAAAACCCUAGAUAGUUGGUUUCAGUUUGGUUCCAUUUUGCUGGAUGUUUGAAAAAAAAUUUUUUUUAGAUAGAUUGUGUGAUCUGUUCAUUCCAACCUUUGUAUAUCUUGUCAAUUGGUUAAACCUCCCAUCUCUGUCUUCAUCCACAUCUUAGUUCAUAAUACGGUACAUGUUGGGGGUGUCUUCUCCAGCACAAGGCUUGUUACUAUGGGAGAGGCAGGGCCGUCUCCUCCCAGCCACUGCUCUGUGUACAAUCAGGAGACUAACACAUUUUUUAUGUUCAUAUGAAGUAUUUCAGGUUCUGAAAACAUCCUUUUAUUUCUGCCAGCACCAAGGUGGCCUGGUAUUACAGGGUUAUCCAUGCCAAUUUCUCAUCUCUGUUUAGGUCUGAAUUAGUUGUUUUGUGUUCCAAUGCAGAUCAGAAUUUGAAUUGUGGCUCUUGCACCGCUUACUCUCAGAUUGACCUUGGGCAAGUUAGCGGAAGCCUAACCUGGUUAAUUUUCUCAUGUGGAAAAUGGGGGUAAUAGAGGCACAGGCUUCACAAAGUUAUUGAGAGACUGAAGGAAGGGAUUCAUGCAGACUACUCAUCGAAUGCAGGGCAUGCACAGAUCAAGUGCAGCCCUUCCUGUGCCUUCCAAGCUCCUUUCCUGGAGGUACCCGUUUCCCAAGGAAAUGAAGCUGUGACGUUGCAGCACACAUCCGUGGAACGUUAGAUUUCUUUGGGUUUGACCAGGUUCCACACUGCCCUUCCUCAGCAGUGUAAUCCAGCAUUUUCGUGUGCACUUAUCAUCGUUGGCCAUUCACUGCAAGGACAGAUGUCAGUCACCGCUGAAACUGCUGGUCACCCUGCAGAGAAAACUUGUGCACAGGAACACAGCCCAGCCCUUUGAGGAUCUGCCUUCCUAGUGAUGGUGAUGAGGAUAGCCAUCUUAUCAUUCAAGUCUGUGGGUUCUUAGUUAUCCAGACUGGAGUCAUCUUGUUAAGAGAACUGUGUGUAAUCUCCACAUCAUAAUCAGAUUUCAGUUACCAUUCAGAGCUAUGACUCAGUCUUAUGGAACUUCAAGGACACAAUUUAAAGAAAACAUUCCUGUUGCCUUUUAAAAGGUUUUUUUUUUUUUUUUGUCUUUUGGUUUGUCAAACUUUUGGCCAUUAUUUUUAAGGUUGUGAUACCAAGUUGAUAUUUGAAGAUAUUCCACAGCCCAGCCCUUUGAGGCCUUAAAAAAAACAAAAAGACUGAGGGAAGACAGACAUCUUUAUUGCUAAUUCUCUUCAGAUGCUGUUAUGGAAAUGAUGUUUUCUGUAUUCAAGUUGAAGAAUAUUUAAGAAAUAUGCAGUGUUACACAGUGAGUGUAUGAAGCACACAGCUGUACGCUGCCGCUGAGAAAUGUGAUGCAUGAGAGUUGAAAAGCUGAGUCAAGGAAGCCAAGGGUGGGACUGCAUAUACCGUAAUCCUCAAUCACUGAAAGCCAGCGAAGUCUUACGGAAAUGGCCAUCGCCACGUACCCCGGAACAUGAGCGGGAAUGUGUAAUACAAGAUUUUUGUGGAAUGAGACUCAUGUUUGAAGGGCAGAGUGGGGAGUUCUGCGUAAAACUGCUGAGAAGCAGCCAAAACAGAGCUGAGGAAUGAUUGAGCCCUGGCCAGGAGAAGGGAAAUUUGGCACCUGAUUUAACAGGAUGCAAUAGUUAUCCAACCCUGGGAUGCAUCUGCAUUCUCAGGAGGAAGACCAUGAGCCUGGGCGUGAUGACUGAGUGAGGGAGAAGUUUUGUGUUGGAGGCCAUGUGUUUCUAACCAGCAGUGUCCUUUUCUGAGGAAUAAAUACUUCUGAGCACUAGUGUGAACAUUUAUUCAAAUUAAAUAAACAUUUCAUCAUCAAACGCACCAUCGAGUUUUAUUUGGAAAUUUAUUAGUGCAGUCAUUUCGACUGCUUUGUGUUGUUUUAACUCUUGAUUUGCAAAUGAGCAUCAUUGUCAGAUGUGAGCAUUUGGAAGGGGCUUUUACCGCUGGAUUUAUGGCUUGCUCUUCUUGUUUACUUUAUGUUGUAAACUAAUUUUAACUACCAAUAAAAGUUGUAGGAAUCCUA